CACGUAGGGCGCAAGCGUUGUCCGGAAUUAUUGGGCGUAAAGGGCUCGUAGGCGGUUUGUCGCGUCGGGAGUGAAAUCCACUGGCUUAACUGGUGGCUUGCUUUCGAUACGGGCAGACUGGAGGUAUGCAGGGGAGAACGGAAUUCCUGGUGUAGCGGUGAAAUGCGCAGAUAUCAGGAGGAGCACCGGUGGCGAAGGCGGGUCUCUAGUACGGUACUGACGCUGAGACGCGAAAGCGUGGGGAGCGAACAGG
rnacentral:rRNA from 1 species